GGCCUAUAGAUGUCCCUCCUACGACAGGCCUAUAGAUGUCCCUCCUAUAGGACAGGUCUAUAGAUGUCCCUCAUAGGACAGGUCUAUAGAUGUCCCUCCUAUAGGACAGGUCUAUAGAUGUCCCUCAUAGGACAGGUCUAUAGAUGUCCCUCAUAGGACAGGUCUAUAGCAGGUCGGUAAACGUUCUGACUCGGGGCCACAGUGGGUUGUAAAAUGUGACGGAGGCCAAGAACAAACGGUUGAAGUGUUUGUGUGAGCGGAUAUAAAUGACAUGUGAAACAUCAUCACAUGAAAGGAUUUGGAUUUUAACAAAUAACAAAGCAUUUAUUUGCAAGGAAAUGUAACAAAUUGGCAA
ensembl:lncRNA